rnacentral:rRNA from 1 species
UAGGGAAUCUUCCGCAAUGGUCGAAAGCCUGACGGAGCAACGCCGCGUGAGUGAUGAAGGUCUUCGGAUCGUAAAACUCUGUUAUUAGGGAAGAACAAAUGUGUAAGUAACUAUGCACGUCUUGACGGUACCUAAUCAGAAAGCCACGGCUAACUACGUGCCAGCAGCCGCGGUAAUACGUAGGUGGCAAGCGUUAUCCGGAAUUAUUGGGCGUAAAGCGCGCGUAGGCGGUUUUUUAAGUCUGAUGUGAAAGCCCACGGCUCAACCGUGGAGGGUCAUUGGAAACUGGAAAACUUGAGUGCAGAAGAGGAAAGUGGAAUUCCAUGUGUAGCGGUGAAAUGCGCAGAGAUAUGGAGGAACACCAGUGGCGAAGGCGACUUUCUGGUCUGUAACUGACGCUGAUGUGCGAAAGCGUGGGGAUCAAACAGG